rnacentral:lncRNA from 1 species
CUUUCUUUUUCUUCUUACGACGUUUACUUCUGUCAUUAUUGACUAAAGGAGCGGUGGAUACAUCAUCCUCAGAAGGAAUUACAAGAUCAACGUCUUCUUGAAAACCAAUGGUACCCAAACUCUCAGGGAGACUGGAUAUUUUCUGAGGUAAGGACGCAAUAGUUCUAAAACCAGGUGUCUCGAGAUCAUUUGACUGAGCUUUAGCAUCAAGAGGUGACGUCAAAACCAGUUUUAUACUAUUUUCAUUCAUAGCAGAUUCUUCGGCGACAGGUAUCACUUGCUCUUUCUCAAGAGGAAAUUCAGAAGUAGGUGUUUCUAAUUGCCUGCAAAUCUCUUUAUUGACCUUUUCUGAAAUAGCAAGAGCAUUUUUAGUUUCAAGAGAAGAAACAGUUAUUGUGUCGGAUUUGUUUUUAAUGGGAAUAUCAGAAUCUCCAUUUUCAUCUGCCAAUGAUUUUUCAACAUUAUCAGCUGCAACAAGAAUAUUUUUAACCUCGACAUUAUCGCUGUGUUUUCCUUUCUUUUUCUUCUUACGACGUUUACUUCUGUCAUUAUUGACUAAAGGAGCGGUGGAUACAUCAUCCUCAGAAGGAAUUACAAGAUCAACGUCUUCUUGAAAACCAAUGGCACCCAAAUUCUCAGGGAGACUGGAUAUUUUCUGAGGUAAGGACGCAAUAGUUCUAAAACCAGGUGUCUCGAGAUCAUUUGACUGAGCUUUAGCAUCAAGAGGUGACGUCAAAACCAGUUCCUUACUAUUUUCAUUCAUAGCAGAUUCUUCGGCGAAAGAUAUCACUUGCUCUUUUUCAAGAGGAAAUUCAGAAGUGGGUGUUUCUAAUUGCCUGCAAAUCUCUUUAUUGACCUUUUCUGAAACAGCAAG